GCCUUGUUUCGGGCCGAGGAGGCACGUGCUGUGCACAGACUGGCAGGGACGGCAAACGGAGAGCCAGUGCCGGGCUGGCGCUCGCGAGCUGGCAUCUGUGAGCCCGGGUCAGUCGCUGUGCGGCCAGAAAGCGCCAGACACGACAGGGGGCAGAUGACGGGCCGGCACGACCCACGAGGCUUCAGGGCAUUUGUGGCCCUGCAGUCCCACGGGGCUGUCAGGCUCAGGCGGUGUGAUUCCUGCCCUGCCGUGGAAACCAGUGUGCAGUCGGACGACACAGCGUCCCUUCGGGCGUCCCCUCGGGGGCACUGCCCGCACCCUGCCCAGUCCCGCCUCGGGGGCGAUGCCUGCACCCCCACCACCCAGUCCACCUCGGGCGUCCCCUCGGGGGCGAUGCCCGCCCCCCCCCCCCCACCGCCCCCACAGCAGCACCUGUCACAGCAGCCGCGUCCGUUGACAGAUGAUGGAUAAACACAGUGUGGUGCAAACAGGCGACAGGGGAUUACGUGGCUUACAGAGGGAUUUCUGCCACUCGCGGCCACACGGACGAACGCGAAGGACGCCACGGGCAGCAUCAGGGGACUUCCCGGGAGAGAGCAUGUCUUCCGUCUCUGUCUGGGGUCUACCAGGCCCUGGGAGCGGAAACCAGAGUCGGUCCCCAAACACUGUCUGCGGCGGUGCAGACGGACGCGGGCCACAAGCAGCAGUUCCCAGAAGCAGGCGCUCAGACAGCGUCCACUGUCGCCAGGAACUGCGGAGAAUGCGUGGAAGGCGGCGCGGAGAAUGCGUGGAAGGCGGCACGAAGCGCUAAACAUCUGGAGACGGGCGUCCACACGCCAUUUAAAAUCGUCUGUGUCCCCAACAGGCAGGUGCUCCCCACCGGGGGAUUUGGCUUGGAUCUGGGGCAUCGGGGGGAGCCCGGGGGGCACGAGAGGCCACAGCCGGGAGGCUGGGCCCCGGGUCCCCCUCGUGCAGCAGGGCAGGCGCUGGCCUGAAGAUGGGGACGUCCCUGAGAGGCGCUAAGAGGACGGGGUCAGCCAAGGGGCAGGAGGGGCUGGUCCAGGAAGGGUUCUGGGGUGCAAGGCUCCCGAUGGCUCCCAACCAGAGGACAUGGGGUGCUGCGCUGAGGGCAUUCCUUCCUGAGGCAGGAGC